UAUCCUUUGUUGCCAGCGAUUAGGUCGGGAACUCAAAGGAGACUGCCAGUGAUAAACUGGAGGAAGGUGGGGAUGACGUCAAGUCAUCAUGGCCCUUACGACCAGGGCUACACACGUGCUACAAUGGCGCAUACAAAGAGAAGCGACCUCGCGAGAGCAAGCGGACCUCAUAAAGUGCGUCGUAGUCCGGAUUGGAGUCUGCAACUCGACUCCAUGAAGUCGGAAUCGCUAGUAAUCGUGGAUCAGAAUGCCACGGUGAAUACGUUCCCGGGCCUUGUACACACCGCCCGUCACACCAUGGGAGUGGGUUGCAAAAGAAGUAGGUAGCUUAACCUUCGGGAGGGCGCUUACCACUUUGUGAUUCAUGACUGGGGUGAAGUCGUAACAAGGUAACCGUAGGGGAACCUGCGGUUGGAUCACCUCCUUACCUUAAAGAAGC
rnacentral:rRNA from 3 species